UUUAUGGAAGAAUGAUUUGCAGUUUCAUAAACACAAAUCAAGAGUGGCCUUUCCUCCCUUUCUUGAGUAGGAGUGUGUUGGCUGUGCAGAAGUCUCCAAAUAAAUGACCUUGGUUCGGUGUACUUCAGUUCAAGCUUCACUGAGAGACAGGGCAUAUUUUCUCCAAUUUAGUCUGCUAUCCAGUACUUGGUACUUCUCAGAGAGAUUUCCACCAACCGCACUUCAUACAUUCAGUACUUGCCUUCUAUCGGGGAAUACCCAGCCAUCUACAGAAGAAUGACUGUAUCAAUGCUGUCAGAAGGCAGGAGGCAACGUCACUGCUGGAGGCGCCUGCAGGGCAGAACAGGUACUCCACUUGGGGAUGCCAACUGAAUAGAAAUUAAAUGAACUGCUCGACCACAAGUGCCUGAGGAAUUGCAGAGCCAUCUCCCAUUUGACAAAAAGGGAAACCGAGUCUUUUUGCCGUUCAAUAAUUUCCUCAAGGUCACGUGAUGGUGGAACAGGCUAGAAAGGGAGACUCUCCAAGCUGCUCUUCUUUAAACACCAACGUGAAAGACACACACUUAGGGAGCAACAGGGAGGGUCGGACUGAGCCUUCAAAUUCUACAUCUCCUCCACUUCCCCAAACUAAGCGUUUUAUUGAUAUAUUUCAGAAAUGAUUAAAACAUAAAAAUUACAUUGUGGUUUUUAUAACGUUUGUGAUUUCUGGGCUGUAAAAGACAAUAA